UGAUCAAUUCAAUUGGCUAGGUUUCGUUGAUUAAAAUUGGAUAUUUGUCACCGUGAUGAUCAAAACAAUGUAAACAUUCUAUAUUAAGUUUGAUGUAUAUUGUGCAAUAUCCUUGAAAAGAUAUAAAUACGCAAUUACAAAGACCCUAGGGAAAUAACUACCUUAUUUGUCAGUAUUUUAAGCUAUGAAUUGAUAUUCGGCUGCAUUGAUAUUGCCAGUAAGGUAUGUAACAAUAUUCGACACAAGAAGAUGAUCAUUAUGAAGGCGGCCAAACAUAAUCACGAUCCACGAUCAACGAUCGGAUACAAACUUGUGUAGAAAACAAAACUGUAUUUCGCUAAGGACCGGCUACAAUUUUGACCCAAGAGGAAAAAUCUGGACUGGAACAAUGGUUGUUCGAUAUGCAGAAACGUGGUUUCUCCGUGACCAAACCAAUGCUGUUGAAUAUUAUAAGGAAGUACUUGGACGCAAUCCCUAGAACAAAAGAACUUUCGGAGCACGUCCCAGGUCGAACAUGGAUGUAACUGUUCCUUUAACGUCAGCUGAAACCUGCGGCUGCGGACUCUGGAAUUUGUGACUCUGUCUGACAUAAACUCCUGGUAUGAAAAGAUUGAAUCUCAUCUGUUUGCGCAAGGAUUUAUGGAGAUUCUGCAAGAUCCGCAGCGCAUCAUAAAUGGAGCUGGGACAUCAUUCCAAUUGAAUCCCAAAAGACCGUCAAAACUAUUCAAAGUAGCUUCAGAACCUCAGGAUUUUAUUCUUGGGAUAGGAACGCGAUUGAUCUAUUCAAAUUUUUGAGGAAGACAACCGCUGGUCUUAUUACAGAUUCGAUAACUGAACUAAUUCCAACUGAACUAGACCAAGAAUCUUCAAUAUCCUUGAAUCAACUCCAACAAGCGAAAAAAAACCUUGAACAGUGUGUAGUAGCCAUCGGUUGUACCAGGAUUAUGAAAUACAUACCUAGACAUACCUAGACAACGAGAAGGAUUCAGCGUUAUUCAGGAUUUUUUUGACAACAGGUUAUUUUUACAGACGUGUUAAAAAAAGUGGAAGAGAACGUGAGACAAACACACUCUAUCUUAGAAAAUAUCCUCGGCAAAUUUGUUUACCGAUAUCAAACUAUCAUUACACCGAGAUUUCGUUCAAUCAAUUUAUUGUAAGAAACCUUGGCAUUUGUGUGCUGUGAGCUUGGUUUGUAUGUCUCGUUGCUGCUGUGUUCGGAGAUGAUGUUCGCCAUGUUAACGCCGAGUAUACAAACGUGCGCGUAUGUGAGACAUUUUCAUAAAUCCCGAUCAUUGACACUCUUAAAUUUUUACUAGGAAACCAAAAAGAUCACGAACUAUUGGAGGAACACCAGACUUCAUGCCAAGGUAUAAACCAGUACGACUCUUUUCGAUCAAUAGAAAAAAACCCGAGCAAAAGUGAUUUCACCGAGCUUUCGAAUGUAGUGCGGCUUAGUUUGUAUCAGGAUGACGUCGAGUUGGACAAUGCGUUGAACUUAUGAGCACGCGUGUAUUUUAAGGUUCAAAAUUUCCCGGAAAAAUACAAUAGUUCACCGAAAACUAUUUUCCCUGUUAUUUAUUGCACAUCUCUGGAUGCCCCAUGGCAUGGGUACAAUUCGCAAUCAACAAUACCAUCUGGAAGAAAACCGAAACAACGCAACAGAGAAGCGAUGUUAACAACAUCCGAAGGUAGGACCAUUUGAGAGAAAUUGGAGUAAAAUAAAAAUAGCAAGUAUUCAUAUGACAACAUAUUGUGGGAUUUUCAAGUAAAAUUAUAUCAAAAGUUACUAAAAUUGCGAGUUGCGUAAUUUAAUUAAAUUUUUGCAGCCGUCCCAAGACUCGACAAAAAUCUUUUCUACCUUUCGAGCUACAAUAUUUUUCUUUUCAGAUUGAGGAAUUAAAAUUUCCCGCUGCUUCAGCAUUUGACGGACAACUGGUAUGUUAAGUAAUUUAUCGCUCUUACGCUGUUAGCUAAACCAAACAAAUGAGAGGUGUUCAAACUUAUUUCUAUUGAAUAGGUAACAAGUAGAUAAAAAAGUCCAGUACUUGAAAAAAAGCUUACUGUCAUAGUACAGUAUGAUAUUUGUUAUUCUUGUGUGUAUGAAUUUUGCAAAAUAUACACUUCAACUGAUAUUUGGGAAAAUUGGAUAAACUAGCAGUGUCACAUUUUGACCAUGUAUAGGAAUGUGUACAAAAAAUGCAUGGUGGUAAAUAUCGAAAAAAUAUUAACAAGAAAAAUCUAACAUUUUAAUUGUUUUUUUUUUAGAUUUUAUCGCUCAGUAUCGUACCUGCUAAAAAUUCUGCAAUAGGAUCGAAACGAUCUCGUGAUGAAAAAAAUACGAUGGUGAAUUCACUGAAUGAUGCUAGUCGAAUGACGUAAGAGGGCAGUGAGUCAUGCAAUCCUCGUGUAUCUCUGGGUGCUAAAUGGCAUGGGUACAAUAAAAUACCGCAAUCAACAAUACCAUUCGGAAGAAAACCAAAACAACGCAACAGGUUAGUAAAAUGUGAAUACUCAAUUCUUGGUAGAAAUUUGUGAGGAGUUUUUGAUAUUGACAUUGAUGACUUAACUGUUUUUUCCCAGAGGAGCGAUAUUGACGAAUUAUUCUUAAUAACAUCCGAAGGUCGGACCAUUUUAGAGAAAUUUUUUGCAGCCGUCCCAUGACGUUCCACAAAAAUCUUUUCUACCUUUCGAGCUACAAUAUUUUUCUUUCAGAUUGAGGAAUAAAAAUUUCCCGCUGCUUCAGAAUUUGACGGACAACUGGUAUGUUAAGUAAUUUAUCGCUCUUACGCUGUUAGCUAAACCAAACAAAUGAGAGGUGUUCAAAUUUAUUUCUAUUGAAUAGGUCACAAGUAGAUAAAAAAAGUUCAGUAUUUGAAUAAAAAAAGCUUAUUGUCAUAGUAUGGUAUUUGUUAUUCUUGUGUGUAUGAGUUUUGCAAAGUGUACACUUCAACUGGAAUCUGUACAAAGAAUUUCAUGAUGGUAAAUAUCGGAAAAAUAUCAACAAGCAAAAUCUAACAUUUCAAUUGGAUUUUUUACAGGUUUUAUCCGUGCUCAGUAUCGUACCUGCUAAAAAUUCUGCAAUAGAAUCGAAACGAUUUCGUGAUGAAAAAAACACGAUGGCGAAUUCACUGAAUGGUAUUAUUGAUUCGGUUGGCUUAAGAAAUAUUUUUAUCUGAACUUUUUAUUAUUGAGAAUUAUUCAGAUGCAAGUCGAAUGACGUAAGAGGACAGUGAGUCAUGCAAUCCUCGUGUAUCUUGCUUGAGCGUCCCAAAGUGAAUUUUUAUAAUUUAUUAACGUAACAAUAACCAACUCAAUUAUGCAAACAGGUAGACGUUCCACUUCCUAUGGCCAACAAAGUACCAUCGUUGAUAGUUAAAGGUGAAUCACUACGAAGUCGAGGACAAUGUUUUAUUUCAUGGUGAAACAUAAAUAUUCCUGUUGAUACGAUCACUUCAGAUUUCGGAAAACUUUGUCAAUGUUUCGAAGUUUUCGCGACAGAUUGUGCACCGAGUGACAAACUUUUUUAUUUGUUUUUCAGGGCAGCAAAUUUUCAGCAGACAAGCUUAAAACUA